rnacentral:rRNA from 1 species
UACGUAGGUGGCAAGCGUUGUCCGGAUUUACUGGGCGUAAAGAGCGCGCAGGCGGUCGGAUAAGUCGAAUGUGAAAACCCCCGGCUCAACUGGGGAGGGUCAUUCGAUACUGUUCGACUCGAAGGCAGGAGAGGGAAGUGGAAUUCCCGGUGUAGUGGUGAAAUGCGUAGAUAUCAGGAAGAACACCCGUGGCGAAGGCGGCUCUCUGGGACGGUACUGACGCUGAGACGCGAAAGCGUGGGGAGGCGAACAGG